rnacentral:rRNA from 1 species
UACAGAGGUCUCAAGCGUUUGUUCGGAUUCAUUGGGCGUAAAGGGUGCGUAGGCGGCGCGGUAAGUCGGGUGUGAAAUCUCGGAGCUUAACUCCGAAACUGCAUUCGAUACUGCCGUGCUUGAGGACUGGAGAGGAGACUGGAAAUUUACGGUGUAGCGGUGAAAUGCGUAGAUAUCGUAAGGAACACAGUGGCGAAGGCGGUGCUCUGGGCCGGAACUGACGCUGGAGGAAGCGAAAGCGUGGGGAGCAAACAGGA